rnacentral:rRNA from 1 species
AGUAGCCGCGGUAAUACGAAGGGUGCAAGCGUUAAUCGGAAUUACUGGGCGUAAAGCGUGCGUAGGCGGUGAGUUAAGUCUGCUGUGAAAUCCCCGGGCUCAACCUGGGAAUGGCAGUGGAUACUGGCUCGCUAGAGUGUGUCAGAGGAUGGUGGAAUUCCCGGUGUAGCGGUGAAAUGCGUAGAGAUCGGGAGGAACAUCAGUGGCGAAGGCGGCCAUCUGGGACAACACUGACGCUGAGGCACGAAAGCGUGGGGAGCAAACAGGAUUAGAUACCCCCGUAGUCCCUGUCUCUUAUACA